AUGAGUACAAAAAUGUUAACGUGUACAGACAGACACUUCAAAACCAGAGGGAGGCAGCAAAGCAAUAUAAAGGGUGAAAAACUGCAGUGAGCUCCCCAAAGAAGAAGAGCAGGCCUCAGGUAGCUCUGUGACAAAGAUGGACAGUCCCAAGCAGUUAAAUUUUCACGUGUCUAUCCGGAAGGGAUCUUCUAUUCCUGCUCUGCAAAAAUGCAACACUUGCUGUUCUCCAGGAAAAUUUCAUUGUCCGUUUUGUUCACCUGAAAUUUUCAAACCCACAAACCGCCCCAGUCUUAGGAUCCACUUGGACAGCCAUCGAAGGGAAGCCUUUGAAACUGGAAAAUACACCUUCCACAGGUGUAGACUCCAGUGCAGAAGUCAGGCGCAUUACCACUGUUUGUACUGCAAAGCCACAGUGAUAAGAAGGAAAACUUUCCACAGUCAUCUGUCAUUUUGCAGUGAGCAACAACAGAGGAGGGUCUGGAAAUUAUCCAAACUACAGGCUGAAUUGACACAAAGAUUCCAAAAUG